UGUUUCGAAGCGGGUGGAGGCGCACAGAGGCGGAGUUUCGUGGUCACCGAGCCGUCCAACUUAUCAGAGACCUCCCACGUCUGGUUCUCCGCCCCUUGUGACUAGAACAGCCAAAAAUCCUGUCUUCGAAAUCGAAUGGAAAAGAAGAACAAAUGGUGAAAUGCAUUUGUUGGUGAAGGAAGGAAGAAUUAUUUUUAUUGAGACUGAAGAAAGAAACAACAGUUAAGAAUAAGAAUGUCUGGCUAUUCGUUAUUGUUGAUGCGUUGAUUUAUUAUUUGUUAUACUUCCAAUGGGAAGUUUGUAAAGAGAGUAGAAUGAUUAUUAAAUGGUAUUGUGUACCCAAGACUUUUUUACAAUCACAUCUAUCUGACGUGAUCCUUCGAUUUCGACCACGGCAAAACACAUUUGUUGUACUCUACUUUAGAAAGAAUAUUGGUCCAAUAUCGGUCAUCAAGUGUAAUUAUGUAAGCAUAUUUAGGUAGCGCUUAAGAAAUCACAAUUAAGCAAUCGUGUUUUGCAUGAUAAUCAUUACCUAGAAUCCUGAAGGAAUUAAGGUCAUCGAAAGAAUUGCUGAACUCAAUGAAAAACGCCUGGUCAGGUUUUAAUCGCGCCUGGUCUGAUCAUUGGAUUGCCGUUUCCACUUUGCCGGUUUUCAAUGCGCACGCGUUCAUUUGGAUCGAUACUGUGCAAAGUUUAUAUCUAUCUGUAAAAAAAGCUUCAUCUUAUCAAUUAUUACAUUCAAAUUAUAUUCUAUAUAUUAAUAUAUAUUUCAUUUUUCAAACCAAAUAUUUGUAGAAAUUAAUUUUUUUUGUUUCAAGUGAAAGAUAUACAAAUUGUUCGUAGAAUCGUAAAUCUUUAAUAUGAUGGGCCUUUUUAUUUCAA